CCUACGGGAGGCAGCAGUGGGGAAUAUUGGACAAUGGGGGCAACCCUGAUCCAGCCAUGCCGCGUGUGUGAAGAAGGCCCUCGGGUUGUAAAGCACUUUCAGUGAGGAAGAACGCCUGGUGGUUAAUACCCAUCAGGAAAGACAUCACUCACAGAAGAAGCACCGGCUAACUCCGUGCCAGCAGCCGCGGUAAUACGGAGGGUGCGAACGUUAAUCGGAAUUACUGGGCGUAAAGCGCGCGUAGGUGGCUUGAUAAGCCGGUUGUGAAAGCCCCGGGCUCAACCUGGGAACGGCAUCCGGAACUGUCAAGCUAGAGUGCAGGAGAGGAAGGUAGAAUUCCCGGUGUAGCGGUGAAAUGCGUAGAGAUCGGGAGGAAUACCAGUGGCGAAGGCGGCCUUCUGGACUGACACUGACACUGAGGUGCGAAAGCGUGGGUAGCAAACAGGAUUAGAUACCCGUGUAGUC
rnacentral:rRNA from 1 species